rfam:Erwinia sp. EM595 isolate E_g_EM595 genome assembly, chromosome: 1
GGUUGGUUCUCCCGCAAUGCUAACUUGUGAAUUCGGUCAGGUCCGGAAGGAAGCAGCCGCAGCAGGUGACGCGUGUGCCGGGAUGUAGCUGGCAGGA